rnacentral:lncRNA from 1 species
GGGGAAGUCACCCAUGAGGGGAACUGCGAGAGUCACCGUGAGACUUCCCAGUGCUUCACAUGCUCCUGACCUCAAGAAUGGCUCCUAAAUUGCAAAAGAAAUAACCAAAGGAAUAUUGCAACUGGGGAAAAUCCAUGCUCAUGCUGCAAGGCCAUCCACAUGCUAAAAACAUUGAGGAAUUUCCCCAACAUAGGAUCUGACAAGAUCAGAGAAUCUCAGGAAGCAAAGGACAGCUUGACCACACCUCCAUACCACCCCAGAGUGCUGGCUGGGGGUUUAGUCAGCAGGGGCUACAGAAGCCACGUUGGUGACUGGGUGAAUGGGGUAGGAUGGGGUUCUUUCAUGGUGCCCCUCUUUUUCUCCUUAAGCAUUGCUCUUUCAAACGGUUGGGACCUAGAAGCCAGCUACAGAAGGUGGCAAACCUUCUCUCCUAUUCUGCUUGCACUUUGUCCAGCAGAAAUUCCUUGCAUUUGGACAUGGUCAUCUUUCCAGUGCCCGACCCUGGGAAGCCACAGUGUUUUCACUGUGUGUUUAUGUUUUCGAGGCAUUUCCAUGGGCCUCUGAGGGACAUAGGUGAAAGUUCAUCGUCAUUUUGUCAUCGUGCCCAGGAGACCAAGACUUCAUUCUUUGGAACAGAGAUAUUUCUAUAGAUUCUUCUUCUCUCUCUCCUCUUCUUCCUCUUCUUUCCCUUCUUUUUCAUCUUCUCCUUCUCUUCUUUCUCCUCUUUCUCCUCCUCUUAUUCCUCUUUUUCUCCUCCUUCUGUUCCUCCUCCUUCUCCAUCUUUAAGCUAAUAUUCAUUUUAUAAAAGCUAUUGAUUUUCACAUAUUAAAAAGUCAGGUAGAGCUUGAAGGCUUUUUAAGAAAAAUAGCAGUUCCUUCACCUACCCUUUCCCCUACUCCCCAGAAACAAAAUAUUUCCCGUCUUUUCUAAAAUAAAUAUAUGCUUACAUUGCCUUUCCUUGACUUGCUAAUUUAGAAGUUAUCUACUGAGACAAUAUUACAGUGGCUCUGAUAAUUGAGAUCUUUCACACCCAUCUACUCUUGCCCUUCACCACACCCCAACCUACAUACAUGCCUAUUCUCUUCCUAACAAAACCUUAUUACACCUUUUAGUGAAAUCAUUAUUCACAAUUCCGUGGCCAUGUAAAUAUUGCUACUACUGAGCUAAAUAUUGUACUUUCCUGGUAGUAUACAUUUUUUCCUUUUAAAACUUUUGCUUUCCUG